rnacentral:lncRNA from 1 species
UAUAUAUAUAUAUAGUGAGAGAGAGAGAGAGAGAGAGAGAGAGAGAGAGAGACUCCUAUACUUUCAAAAGUACGGAGGCCUCCGUACUUCUAAGUUGUUUUCGAUGAUGGGAUAUACGAUUCGGUGAUCAGUUCCGUUAGACAUGAUCUACGCUAUUGGAACUAUCUAAAAAGCAAAUUUCAUAAUUUUUUGACUUUAUUUGCCUAGUGAAUGAGUAGCCUCAAAAUGAACGACUGAAAAUAAAAAUCUCAUAAAAAAUAUUUAUAAAAGACUCAAGUUUCAAAUCAGUAGUAUUGAUCUUGCUACUGAUGUUAAGUAGAAUUUUCUAUUAAAGUUUCAUAUAAUUUGUAAUGUUCUACAAUGUUGAACAUAAAAAUGUGCCACAUCAACUGUUAAAAUAGUCAUUUUUGAGAUAUUUUGAUCACUUGGUAAAUGAUGUCGAAAAAUUAUGAAAUUUGUUUCUAGAUAGUUCCAAUAGCAUAGAUUAUGCCUAACGGAGUCGAUUGUCGAAUCGGAUAUCCUAUUAUCGAAAACAACUUACAAGCGCGGAGGCUUUCGUACUUUUGAAAGCACAGGUUAUCCUUCCACCAUCAUUGUCUUUCUUAUUUGCCCUUAAAGUCAGGGGCACAAAAAGUAUUUCAACUUUUUGUCUUUUCCAAUAUACCCCUCUAGCGUAACCAACCUUUCUUAUUUGCCCUUAAGUUAAGGGCAAAAUUGGCAUUUUAAUUUUUUUUAAUUGUGAUAGAUAUUUAACUCACGUUUAACUCAGGUUAACUUAACAGGAGAUAACUGCGGGGGUAUUUUGCAAUAAUGGUGGAACAUAUGAGGGGCAUUUUAGAAAGAAAAAAAAAGUAGGGGUAGAUCGGAUAUUUCCAGACGCAUGAGGGGUAUAUAGGCAAUUAUCCCAUAUAUAUAUAUAUAUAUAUAUAUAUAGUAUUGAUCUUGCUACUGAUGUUAAGUAGAAUUUUCUAUUAAGGUUUUAUAUAAUUUGUAAUGUUCUACAAUGUUGAACGUAAAAACGUGCCACAUCGACUGUUAAAAUAGUCAUUUUUGAGAUAUUUUGAUCACUUGGUAAAUGAUAUCGAAAAAUUAUGAAAUUUGUCUCUAGAUAGUUCCAAUAGCAUAGAUUAUGCCUAACAGAGUCGAUUGUCGAAUCGGAUGUCCUAUUAUCGAAAACAACUUACAAGCACGGAGGCCUUCGUACUUUCGAAAGCACAGGAGACGUACUCUCUCUCUCUCUCUCUCUCUCUCUC